rnacentral:misc_RNA from 1 species
CCUCUUUUCUCACCUUUAUUUUUUUUUCAUUCUCUUUCUACUUUGCUCAUCUACCCAUUCCAAAACUAUAUAUUGUAAUUUAAUGAUUCAUUUUAUUUGUAUGACACAUUAAUGUGAAAUCUCAUAACAUCUUUUAACUUAAGGACAAAUUUCUAUUAUUCUAAAAGGAUAGAAUUUUGAGAGCUUAAAAUUGGUCCUGUCCAUA